rnacentral:ncRNA from 1 species
CCCCCGAAAGCUAGAUGAUAUCUAAUCCCAUAAACAUAAAGGUUUGGUCCUGGCCUUAUAAUUAGUUGGAGGUAAGAUUACACAUGCAAAUAUCCAUAAACCGGUGUAAAAUCCCUUAAUUAUUUGUACAAAACUUAAGGAGAGGGUAUCAAGCACAUUUACAUAGCUUAAGACACCUUGCCUAGCCACACCCCCACGGGACCCAGCAGUGAUAAAUAUUAAGCAAUGAACGAAAGUUUGACUAAGCUAUACCUCUAAGGGUUGGUAAAUCUCGUGCCAGCCACCGCGGUCAUACGAUUAACCCAAACUAAUUACUUCUCGGCGUAAAACGUGCUAACUAGAAAUUAUAAAUAGAACUAAAAUCCAACUAAUAUGUGAAAAUUCAUUGUUAGGACCUAGAACCAAUAACGAAAGUAGUUCUAAUAACUUUACUCUGCACGACAGCUAAGAUCCAAACUGGGAUUAGAUACCCCACUAUGCUUAGCCUUAAACUUGAAUAAUUUAAUAACAAAACUAUUUGCCAGAGAACUACUAGCUACUGCUUAAAACUCAAAGGACUUGGCGGUACUUUAUAUCCAUCUAGAGGAGCCUGUUCUAUAAUCGAUACACCCCGAUCUACCUCACCAUCUCUUGCCAAAUUCAGCCUAUAUACCGCCAUCUUCAGCAAACCCUAAAAAGGAACAUAAGUAAGCACAAGAACAAACAUUAAAACGUUAGGUCAAGGUGUAGCCAAUGAGAUGGGAAGAAAUGGGCUACAUUUUCUUUACAAAGAACAUUACGAUACCCUUUAUGAAACUAAAGGACAAAGGAGGAUUUAGUAGUAAAUUAAGAAUAGAGAGCUUAAUUGAAUAGAGCAAUGAAGUACGCACACACCGCCCGUCACCCUCCUCAAACUAAAUUAAUCUUACAACAUAAAUAAUAACGUAAAUAAUAGUUUACGAGAGGAGAUAAGUCGUAACAAGGUAAGCAUACUGGAAAGUGUGCUUGGAAUAACCAUAGAGUAGCUUAUAACCAAGCUCUG